rnacentral:rRNA from 1 species
GAUGAACGCUGGCGGCGUGCCUAAUACAUGCAAGUAGAACGCUGAAGGAAGGAGCUUGCUCUUUCCGGAUGAGUUGCGAACGGGUGAGUAACGCGUAGGUAACCUGCCUGGUAGCGGGGGAUAACUAUUGGAAACGAUAGCUAAUACCGCAUAACAGUAGAUGUUGCAUGAUAUCUACUUAAAAGGUGCAAUUGCACCACUACCAGAUGGACCUGCGUUGUAUUAGCUAGUUGGUGAGGUAGCGGCUCACCAAGGCGACGAUACAUAGCCGACCUGAGAGGGUGAUCGGCCACACUGGGACUGAGACACGGCCCAGACUCCUACGGGAGGCAGCAGUAGGGAAUCUUCGGCAAUGGACGGAAGUCUGACCGAGCAACGCCGCGUGAGUGAAGAAGGUUUUCGGAUCGUAAAGCUCUGUUGUAAGAGAAGAACGAGUGUGAGAGUGGAAAGUUCACACUGUGACGGUAUCUUACCAGAAAGGGACGGCUAACUACGUG